rnacentral:rRNA from 1 species
AUUGAACGCUGGCGGCAUGCCUUUCACAUGCAAGUCGAACGGUAACAGGUCUUCGGAUGCUGACGAGUGGCGAACGGGUGAGUAAUGCAUCGGAACGUGCCCAGUAGUGGGGGAUAGCCCGGCGAAAGCCGGAUUAAUACCGCAUACGACCUGAGGGUGAAAGGGGGGGAUCGCAAGACCUCUCGCUAUUGGAGCGGCCGAUGUCAGAUUAGCUAGUUGGUGGGGUAAAGGCCUACCAAGGCAACGAUCUGUAGUUGGUCUGAGAGGACGACCAGCCACACUGGGACUGAGACACGACCCAGACUCCUACGGGAGUCAGCAGUGGGGAAGUUUGGACAAUGGGCGCAAGCCUGAUCCAGCAAUGCCGCGUGCAGGAAGAAGGCCUUCGGGUUGUAAACUGCUUUUGUCAGGGAAGAAAUCUUCUGGGUUAAUACCUCGGGAGGAUGACGGUACCUGAAGAAUAAGCACCGGCUAACUACGUGCCAGCCGCCGCGGUAACAC